rnacentral:tRNA from 1 species
GCGGAAGUGGUGGAAUUGGUAGACACGCUAUCUUGAGGGGGUAGUGCCUCCGGGUGUAUGGGUUCGAGUCCCAUCUUCCGCA